rnacentral:rRNA from 1 species
AACCCCCAAUCUUUUUAAGGUUGA